rnacentral:rRNA from 1 species
UAUGGCUCAGAACGAACGCUGGCGGCAGGCCUAACACAUGCAAGUCGAGCGCCCAGCAAUGGGAGCGGCGGACGGGUGAGUAACGCGUGGGAAUUUUUCCUGGAGUACGGAACAACCGAGGGAAACUUCGGCUAAUACCGUAUGAUAUCGAGAGAUCAAAGAUUUAUCGCUCUGGGGUGAGCCCGCGUCAGAUUAGGUAGUUGGUGGGGUAACGGCCUACCAAGCCUGCGAUCUGUAGCUGGUCUGAGAGGACGAUCAGCCACACUGGGACUGAGACACGGCCCAGACUCCUACGGGAGGCAGCAGUGGGGAAUCUUGCGCAAUGGGCGAAAGCCUGACGCAGCCAUGCCGCGUGAGUGAAGAAGGUCUUAGGAUUGUAAAGCUCUUUCGCUCGUGACGAUGAUGACGGUAACGAGAGAAGAAGCCCCGGCUAACUUCGUGCCAGCAGCCGCGGUAAUACGAAGGGGGCUAGCGUUGUUCGGAAUUACUGGGCGUAAAGCGCGCGUAGGCGGUUUUGCAAGCCAGAGGUGAAAUGCCUGAGCUCAACUUAGGAAUUGCCUUUGGGACUGCGAGGCUUUGAGGACUGGAGAGGUGAGUGGAAUUCCCAGUGUAGAGGUGAAAUUCGUAGAUAUUGGGAAGAACACCGGUGGCGAAGGCGGCUCACUGGCCAGUUUCUGACGCUGCAGCGCGAAAGCGUGGGGAUCAAACAGGAUUAGAUACCCUGGUAGUCCACGCUGUAAACGAUGAGUGCUAGGCGUCGGCAUGCUUGCAUGUCGGUGCCGCAGCUAACGCGUGAAGCACUCCGCCUGGGGAGUACGGUCGCAAGAUUAAAACUCAAAU